rnacentral:rRNA from 1 species
UGGGGAAUUUUGGACAAUGGGCGAAAGCCUGAUCCAGCAAUGCCGCGUGUGUGAAGAAGGCCUUCGGGUUGUAAAGCACUUUUGUCCGGAAAGAAAUCCUCUGGGUUAAUACCUCUGGGGGAUGACGGUACCGGAAGAAUAAGCACCGGCUAACUACGUGCCAGCAGCCGUGGUAAUACGUAGGGUGCAAGCGUUAAUCGGAAUUACUGGGCGUAAAGCGUGCGCAGGCGGUUUUGUAAGACGGAUGUGAAAUCCCCGGGCUUAACCUGGGAACUGCAUUCGUGACUGCAAGGCUAGAGUAUGGCAGAGGGGGGUAGAAUUCCACGUGUAGCAGUGAAAUGCGUAGAGAUGUGGAGGAAUACCGAUGGCGAAGGCAGCCCCCUGGGCCAAUACUGACGCUCAUGCACGAAAGCGUGGGA